rnacentral:rRNA from 1 species
GACGAACGCUGGCGGCGUGCUUAACACAUGCAAGUCGAACGGAAAGGCCCUGCUUUUGUGGGGUGCUCGAGUGGCGAACGGGUGAGUAACACGUGCGUAUCCUGCCCUUUACUUUGGGAUAACUUCAGGAACCUGGGGCUAAUACCGGAUAGGAGCUCCUGCUGAAUGGUUGGGGUUGCAAAGUUUCGGCGGUUGGGGAUGGACUCGCGGCUUAUCAGCUUGUUGGUGGGGUAGUGGCUUACCAAGGCUUUGACGGGUAUCCGGCCUGAGAGGGUGACCGGCCACAUUGAGACUGAGAGACGGCCCAGACGCCGACGGGAGGCAGCAGUGAGGAAUAUUGCACAAUGGGCGGAAGCCUGAUGCAGCAACGCCGCGUGCGUGAUGACGGCCUUCGGGUUGUAAACCGAUUGCGCCUGUGACGAAGCGUGAGUGACGGUAAUGGGUAAAGAAGCACCGGCUAACUACGUG